rnacentral:rRNA from 1 species
AGUGAACGCUGGCGGUAGGCCUAACACAUGCAAGUCGAACGGCAGAACAGUAAGAGCUUGCUCUUACGGGUGGCGAGUGGCGGACGGGUGAGGAAUAAAUCGGAAUCUACUUUUUCGUGGGGGAUAACGUAGGGAAACUUACGCUAAUACCGCAUACGACCUACGGGUGAAAGCAGGGGAUCUUCGGACCUUGCGCGAUUGAAUGGGCCGAUGUCGGAUUAGCUAGUUGGCGGGGUAAAGGCCCACCAAGGCGACGAUCCGUAGCUGGUCUGAGAGGAUGAUCAGCCACACGGGAACUAGGACACGGCCCCACCCCCGACGGGAGGCACGGGUGGGAAUUUUUGGAGAGGGGGCGGAAGCCUGUUCCAGCCAUACCGCGUGGGUGAAGAAGGCCUUUGGGUUGUAAACCCCUUUUGUUGGGAAAUAAAAACGCCAGUUUAACACCCCGCUUUUUGACGUUUCCCCAAAAAAAAGCCCCGGCUAAACUCCUG